CAUUAAUCCUCAUGAUAAGUCUGUGACUGUGAUGUUGUAUGAUGAUCACAAGCACAGGUUUGUCAUGAGGGUGAAAUGA
rnacentral:pre_miRNA from 1 species